UGGGUAGUAAACAAAACAACGGACAGUUUAUUUCUCGAUAUUUCGUCAAUGCAAUGUCUACCGAAAAAGGAAAAUAUACAUAUAUAGAAAAAAUGCGUCGUGAAAAACAGAAAAUUUUAAUAUAUAAGCAACUAGGACCUCUACAUUAUUUCCAGAGAUUUACACUAACAAAUAGUGUUGGAUAAAUCUUUUAACAUUGAAAUGAGAAAGUCUAUCGCAGCGGCUCUCAACCCUUUUUUGGUGAUACAUAUUUCCCAAAUCAAUUGUACUCACUGGUUUAUUUUGUUCUCGCAGAGCGAGAGAGGAUCUCCAGUUGUCGAACAGCGUCAUGGUAGCCUCGUUUAGACUCGAAUCAACCGGCGAGAAUAACUAACCGGAUGCACUCACUGAUGGCGGCAAAAGUAAAAAACCAAAACGACCAGUGUCGAAAGUACCAAUCAGCAUACCUCGCAGACAUCGUCACCCGUACAUGUAUCAUUAUACUCAUAGCUUGAAUUAUUCGGUUAGAUCCCCUCAUCUUUUCUCUGGGCUUGGGACCAGCAAAAACAACUUUACAUGCCAGUUGUUUUUGGCAGAUUUAAAUCUAACCACUGUGCUGAAUGUAUUACUUGUAAUAUGAUAAAUGAUCUAGAUAAAGUAAAUGUUUCGGGGGUUUCUACUAUCAGGAAAUUCAUCUAAUUAACUAUAAAUCGCGACAAAAAGCCGAAAUUCUAACAGCAAUUGUAUUCUACACCGGUAAUGCUAUACACUCAAUUCACACUAGCUCGUUUUAAAUAAACUGGUAAUAAUAUAGGAAGCUUAGGAACAACUUUCCGCUAAACUCUUGUGUAAAGAUUUAGUGUGCUUUUAGAUUACACACAUGAAGUUAUUGUUCCAGUUUGCCAGUUGUUUCAGCACAUGUUUUUAGAUUUUUUUUACUACAAUGUUAAAUGUAUUGAUAUUAGAUUUCUUCUAGGUAUAGAUCGAACAACUAAAAAUUUUUGCAACAUUUAUAUCUUAGAUUGUUCAUCCUAUUAUUUUGCAUCUAGUCUGAUCUAGUCUGAUUAUCUUUGGUAAAAUUUGGAGUUUUACCGCUAGAUCGGAUGGUAUCUGACAUUGUGGGGUGCAUUACAUUGAUAACUGAAUUAUGUAAGAAAAAUAUGAAAAACCAACAUGACAAAAUAAAAUACUGUAGUAAGGCAAGAUUAUCAAAGUCUACACAUGUCCAGAUCCAUCAAAAAUACUACUUAUCUCAAGAUUGGGUAACGAGUCGAUAGUCGAUGUACGCGGAUGGUAUAAGUGCAUCAUUUGAUUAGUGUAAAAAAACUUGCUGCAAUUGAUGACAGAAUACCCAGUCUUGAGAUAUGUAAUUUUUGUAAUUGACUAGUGUUACCAAGAACAGACAACCGCAAACUUAGAAAAAGAACUUUUCCAUGCUAUGCGGAUUCCGCGAGUGAUACUGUUGAAAAAUCCAGAAUUUUUCACGUACCUAUGUAAACUUGUUCGAAGUUCUGUUCUUUGUGGUAACUGCAAAAUUUUUUUAAAUAAACACGCAGAGGAUAAAAAUUAA